GGUUAAGUGACUAAGCGUAUACGGUGGAUGCCUUGGCAGUCAGAGGCGAUGAAGGACGUACUAACUUGCGAUAAGCCCGGAUGAGGGAGUAAGACCCACAUGAGUCCGGGAUUUCCGAAUGGGGAAACCCACCUGCAGCAGCAGGUAUCUUUACCUGAAUCCAUAGGGUAAAGAGGCGAACCGGGGGAACUGAAACAUCUAAGUACCCCGAGGAAAAGAAAUCAACAGAGAUUCCGGCAGUAGCGGCGAGCGACCCCGGAUUAGCCCUUAAGUUUUAUAUGUGUCAGGUGAAGGCUCUGGAAAGUGCCGCGAUACAGGGUGACAGCCCCGUAACCGAAGAUGCAUAUAAGGUGAAAACGAGUAGGACGGGACACGUGAUAUCCUGUCUGAACAUGGGGGGACCAUCCUCCAAGGCUAAAUACUCCUGACUGACCGAUAGUGAACCAGUACCGUGAGGGAAAGGCGAAAAGAACCCCUGUGAGGGGAGUGAAACAGAACCUGAAACCGUAUACGUACAAGCAGUAGGAGCCUCUUUAUGGGGUGACUGCGUACCUUUUGUAUAAUGGGUCAGCGACUUAUAUUCAGUGGCAAGGUUAACCGGAUAGGGAAGCCGUAGCGAAAGCGAGUCUUAACUGGGCGUUCAGUCUCUGGAUAUAGACCCGAAACCGGGUGAUCUAGCCAUGGGCAGGUUGAAGGUUGAGUAACAUCAACUGGAGGACCGAACCGACUAAUGUUGAAAAAUUAGCGGAUGACUUGUGGCUAGGGG
rnacentral:ncRNA from 1 species